AAGACAACGGCUAUUAUUCUACAAGCUCGACUGCAUGAAUGCGCGGAGGUGAGCGCGAUGGUGUUACUACGAGGAGCCGAGCGGUCCGCACCGCUCUAUGAAUCGUAGAAGCGCUGGAAAGAGGGAAAUGGGCGACGUUGCCUGGGCCUCCACAGAAGCUCCACGCAUUUUGCCUGGCUGUCCGAUGGCACAGGCAUCGUCGAUGUGAAGGGGAGGAGUGUUGGCGAAAGUCGGACUCACCGUCCCUACGGGUCCUGGCAAGCCAACUCGUGGACAGAGGCUCAGUGGGCAGCGGCAGUCCAGC